GACGAACGCUGGCGGCGUGCUUAACACAUGCAAGUCGAACGGAAAGGCCCUGCUCUUGUGGGGUUCUCGAGUGGCGAACGGGUGAGUAACACGUGAGUAACCUGCCCUUGACUUUGGGAUAACUUCAGGAAACUGGGGCUAAUACCCGAUAGGAGCUCCUGCUGCAUGGUGUGGGUUGGAAAGUUUCGGCGGUUGGGGAUGGUCUCGCGGCUUAUCAGCUUGUUGGUGGGGUAGUGGCUUACCAAGGCUUUGAAGGGUAGCCGGCCUGAGAGGGUGACCGGCCACAAUGGGCCUGAGAGAGGCACCAGAAUCCUACGGGAGGCAGCGGUGGGGAACAUUGCACAAUGGGGCGAAGCGUGAUGCAGCAACGCUGCGUGCGGGAUGCCGGCCUACGAGUGGUAAACCGCUUUCGACGGUGACGAAGAGUGAGUGACGGUAAUGAGUAAAGAAGCACCGGCUAACUACGUG
rnacentral:rRNA from 1 species